rnacentral:tRNA from 1 species
GGGGAUAUAGCUCAGCUGGUAGAGGGCUUUCCUAGUAUGCACAAGGCCCUGGGUUCAAUCCCCAGUACCACCA